CCUACGGGAUGCAGCAGUAGGGAAUCUUUCACAAUGGGCGAAACCCUGAAGCAGCAACGCCGCGUGCAGGAUGAAGGUCUUCGGAUUGUAAACUCCUUUUGUUAGCGAGGAUUAUGAUGGUAUCUAACGAAUAAGCAUCGGCUAACUCCGUGCCAGCAGCCGCGGUCAUACGUAGGAUGCGAGCGUUACUCGGAAUCACUGGGUGUAAAGAGUUCGAAGGCGGGAUAGAAAGAUAGAUGUGAAAUCCUAUUGCUUAACCAUAGAACUGUAUUUGAAACUGUUAUUCUAGAGUAUGUGAGAGGUAAGUGGAAUUGUUGGUGUAGGAGUAAAAUCCGUAGAUAUCAAGAGGAAUACUCAUAGCGAAGGC
rnacentral:rRNA from 1 species